rnacentral:lncRNA from 1 species
AUUUGGUAUUAUUAGUUACCGGUUUUUUCUUAAAUACCCUAAAUACCGACUUGCCAAAUCGACGCAUCAUAAAUUGAUCAUAGUUUUGUUAGUGGACUAGAAUGGAGUCAUAGAAACCAUUCAGCGUGAAAGUGUUCGGGAUGCAAGUAUGCCGCAGGUGCCUAUCGCCCCUUCUUGUUGAGAUGAAAGGUCAAUUUUAGGUGAUGUGAGACAUAUUGCGCAGACUUGACAUAUAUGGUGGAAAAUCUAAGAGAUUAACCAGCUUUUGCAUCAAAAUUGACUUCUUUCCAUCCAUUGGGAUCGUCCAUCUUUAGUAUCACACAUACCCAAGAUGUCUAAUUCUCAUGCAGACGCACCAUCGAAGGAAAUUAGAAAGAGAGGAAUUGUAUUCUCUCGUGUAGCACUGACUGGUCGAGAGCCAGGUGAUGUUGCCCACAACGAUAUGAUAUUGAUCAAACUUGAGAUGCAAUAUGUUGUUGAUAAAAUAUACUCACCGUUUCAAAAAUCCACGUUUUUAAACAAAUAUUUCAAAAUUAAAUAUUUUUUGCUUUUUAAUGUAUUAUUUAUUAGUAAAUUGCAAACUUAAACAAAUUGUAUUUAUUGAAAUUUGAUUGGCCAAAAAUUGUUGAAAAUAAUUAAUUACAAAAAACCAUGCAUUAAUAAUCAAAAUUUAGUAAAUGGAGUAUUUUUUAAUAUGUGCGAAAAUUUUGAACUAACAUUUAAGGAAUAUACAUAUUUUGUAAAAAUGCACGAAGCUUUACAAUAAAUUUAGUUAUGUAAAACUACGUUAUGUUUUUUCAACAAAUAAGUAUUUUGAGUUUUAGUCAUAAAUAUACAGAUGCAGCUGUCGCAAGAAUUUGGAUCAUUCAAUUGUUAUAGUCUCAAACAUAAAUGUGACACUCUUUGCAUUAAAUUUUGAUGGAAACAGGCUGGUGACAGAUGUAAAAGGAACA